CAAGGUGAGAGAUACGGAGGUAGAGCACUGAAUGUCCUAGGGGGUAUUGCACCUACCGAAGACUAUCAAACUCCGAAUGCCGUCAUCUUAUACUUGGGAGUCAGACUGUGGGUGAUAAGAUUCAUAGUCGAAAGGGCAACAGCCCAGAUCGUCAGCUAAGGUCCCUAAAUGUAAGUUAAGUGGUAAAGGAUGUGGGAUUGCACAGACAACCAGGAUGUUGGCUUAGAAGCAGCCACUCAUUCAAAGAGUGCGUAAUAGCUCACUGGUCGAGUGAUCCUGCGCCGAAGAUUUCCGGGGCUAAAACUUACUACCGAAGCUACGGCAUCAGUAAUGAUGGGUAGGGGAGCUUCCCAUACGGGUUGAAGCAUGACCGUAAGGACAUGUGGACAGUAUGGGAGUGAGAAUGUUGGCAUGAGUAGCGAGAUGUGGGUGAGAAUCCCACAGGCCGUAAACCCAAGGUUUCCAGGGGAAGGUUCGUCCGCCCUGGGUUAGUCGGGACCUAAGCUGAGGCCGAAAGGCGUAGGUGAUGGACAACAGGUUGAUAUUCCUGUACUACCGAU
rnacentral:rRNA from 1 species